CCAACGGGUAUAAAGUUAGCAAUGAAUACAAAUUAUGAAACUUAUCGAUUACUAUGACAAUCCUAUCAUGGGUAUAAAGUGACCAUAGCAUGAAUUUUUGUGAGUAAUAUUUUAAAAAUAUGGUAUGAAUAUCUAACAAGAAUGAUUUAUGAAUCAUAUUUACAAAAUACUCAUGAUUGAUUUAUGACUUAUUUUAUUACAUAUCCUAUGAAAUAUUUUAUUUUAUAAUAUAUAUUAU
rnacentral:lncRNA from 1 species